GACGAACGCUGGCGGCAUGCCUAAUACAUGCAAGUCGAGCGAACAGAUGAAGUGCUUGCACUUCUGACGUUAGCGGCGAACGGGUGAGUAACACGUAAGGAAUCUACCUAUAAGCGGGGGAUAACAUUCGGAAACGGGUGCUAAUACCGCAUAAUAUCUUCUUCCGCAUGGAAGAAGAUUGAGAGACGGCUCUGCUGUCACUUAUAGAUGACCUUGCGGUGCAUUAGUUAGUUGGUGGGGUAAUGGCCUACCAAGACGAUGAUGCAUAGCCGACCUGAGAGGGUGAUAGGCCACAUUGGGACUGGGACACGGCCCAAACUCCGACGGGAGGCAGAAGUAGGGAAUCUUCCGCAAUGGGCGAAAGCCUGACGGAGCAAUGCCGCGUGAGUGAAGAAGGCCUUCGGGUCGUAAAACUCUGUUAUAAGAGAAGAACAAAUUGUAGAGUAACUGCUACAGUCUUGACGGUAUCUUAUCAGAAAGCCACGGCUAACUACGUGCCAGCCGCCGCCGUAA
rnacentral:rRNA from 1 species